rnacentral:snRNA from 1 species
AUCGCUUCUCAGACUUUUGGCUAAGGUCAAGUGUAGUAUCUGUUGUUAUCAGCUUAAUAUCCCUCAGAAAUAAAAAAUAGCAAAAAUGUAUCCUUUUUAUUUUUUUGUGGAUAAAUGUAU